GACGAACGCUGGCGGCGUGCCUAAUACAUGCAAGUCGAGCGAAGUUUUUCUGGUGCUUGCACUAGAAACACUUAGCGGCGAACGGGUGAGUAACACGUAAAGAACCUGCCUCAUAGACUGGGACAACUAUUGGAAACGAUAGCUAAUACCGGAUAACAGUAUUUCUCGCAUGAGAGAUAUUUAAAAGUUGGUUAUGCUAACACUAUGAGAUGGCUUUGCGGUGCAUUAGCUAGUUGGUGGGGUAAAGGCCCACCAAGGCGACGAUGCAUAGCCGACCUGAGAGGGUGAUCGGCCACACUGGGACUGAGACACGGCCCAGACUCCUACGGGAGGCAGCAGUAGGGAAUCUUCCGCAAAGGGCGAAAGCCUGACGGAGCAACGCCGCGUGAGUGAAGAAGGAGUUCGGUUCGUAAAGCUCUGUUGUUAGGGAAGAAUGGAUAUGUAGUAACUAUACAUGUAAGAGACGGUACCUAACCAGAAAGCCACGGCUAACUACGUG
rnacentral:rRNA from 1 species